AAUCCUGUCCACCGUAAGACUAAGGUUUCCAGGGGAAGGCUCGUCCGCCCUGGGUUAGUCGGGACCUAAGGAGAGACCGAAAGGUGUAUCCGAUGGACAACAGGUUGAUAUUCCUGUACUAGAGUAUAUAGUGAUGGAGGGACGCAGUAGGCUAACUAAACCAGACGAUUGGAAGUGUCUGGCCAAGCAGUGAGGUGUGAUAUGAGUCAAAUGCUUAUAUCUAUAACAUUGAGCUGUGAUGGGGAGCGAAGUUUAGUAGCGAAGUUAGUGAUGUCACACUGCCGAGAAAAGCUUCUAGCGUUAAUUAUACUCUACCCGUACCGCAAACCGACACAGGUAGUCGAGGCGAGUAGCCUCAGGUGAGCGAGAGAACUCUCGUUAAGGAACUCGGCAAAAUGGCCCCGUAACUUCGGGAGAAGGGGCGCUGACUUAUGGUCAGCCGCAGUGAAUAGGCCCAAGCAACUGUUUAUCAAAAACACAGCUCUCUGCUAAAUCGUAAGAUGAUGUAUAGGGGGUGACGCCUGCCCGGUGCUGGAAGGUUAAGAGGAGUGCUUAGCAAUAGCGAAGGUAUGAAUUGAAGCCCCAGUAAACGGCGGCCGUAACUAUAACGGUCCUAAGGUAGCGAAAUUCCUUGUCGGGUAAGUUCCGACCCGCACGAAAGGCGUAAUGAUUUGGGCACUGUCUCAACGAGAGACUCGGUGAAAUUUUAGUACCUGUGAAGAUGCAGGUUACCCGCGACAGGACGGAAAGACCCCAUGGAGCUUUACUGCAGUUUGAUAUUGAGUAUCUGUACCACAUGUACAGGAUAGGUAGGAGCCUAUGACCUCGGGACGCCAGUUUCGAGUGAGGCGUUGUUGGGAUACUACCCUUGUGUUAUGGCUACUCUAACCCAGAUAGGUUAUCCCUAUCGGAGACAGUGUCUGACGGGCAGUUUGACUGGGGCGGUCGCCUCCUAAAAGGUAACGGAGGCGCCCAAAGGUUCCCUCAGAAUGGUUGGAAAUCAUUCGCAGAGUGUAAAGGUAUAAGGGAGCUUGACUGCGAGAGUUACAACUCGAGCAGGGACGAAAGUCGGGCUUAGUGAUCCGGUGGUUCCGCAUGGAAGGGCCAUCGCUCAACGGAUAAAAGCUACCCUGGGGAUAACAGGCUUAUCUCCCCCAAGAGUUCACAUCGAC
rnacentral:rRNA from 1 species